rnacentral:rRNA from 1 species
AACCUGGUUGAUCCUGCCAGUAGCAUACGCUUGUCUCAAAGAUUAAGCCAUGCAUGUCUAAGUAUAAACAACUCUAUACUGUGAAACUGCGAAUGGCUCAUUAAAUCAGUUAUAGUUUAUUUGAUGGUUCUUGCUACUUGGAUAACCGUAGUCCCUGCCCUUUGUACACACCGCCCGUCGCACCUACCGAUUGAAUGGUUCGGUGAAAAUCUCGGACCGCGGCUUGGAUGCCUUCGGGCAACCAGGCGGUGGAAAGUUGUUUAAACCUCAUCAUUUAGAGGAAGGUGAAGUCGUAACAAGGUUUCCGUAGGUGAACCUGCAGAAGGAU